rnacentral:lncRNA from 1 species
AUAUACUCAGGGGUGGGUGCAGGGCAGACGAUUUUCAAACAAACUCUUCAUUCAUUAGAUAGAGAAGAUCGUCAAAAUUUCGUGAUCCGCUGCCGAACCUAUUCAAUUCCAAUAGCUCAGACUUGGAUUGUGGAGAUCGUUGGAAUAUUUCAUAUCAACAAAUAAGAUACUCGGUAUAUCAAUAUUGAUUCGAUCACUCGAUUAUUAUCAAACUAACUGCAAUCUUUUUCUAUCUAUAAGGAUCCCACC